rnacentral:rRNA from 1 species
AACGCGAAGAACCUUACCAGGGUUUGACAUCCUGCCAAGGUUUCCGAAAGGAAACUGUGCCUUCGGGCCGCAGAGACAGGUGCUGCAUGGCCGUCGUCAGCUCGUGUCGUGAGAUGUUUGGUUAAGUCCAUCAACGAGCGCAACCCUUAUAGUUAGUUGAAUUUCUCUAGCUAGACUGCCCCGGUAACGGGGAGGAAGGAGGGGAUGAUGUCAGGUCAUUAUUGCCCUUACACCCUGGGCUACAAACACGCUACAAUGGCCGGUACAAAGGGCAGCUAAGUCGCGAGACGGAGCAAAUCCCAUCAAAGCCGGUCUCAGUUCGGAUUGUAGGCUGAAACUCGCCUGCAUGAAGCUGGAAUCGCUAGUAACGGUAGGUCAGCACACUACCGUGAAUACGUUCCCGGGCCUUGUACACACCGCGUGUCU